rnacentral:rRNA from 1 species
CAUACCCCAGGUCAGGCGUGGCUACCCGCCGAGUUUAAGCAUAUCAAUAAGCGG